rnacentral:rRNA from 1 species
CCCUUAGAUGUUCUGGGCCGCACACGCGCUACACUGAAGGAGGCAGCGUGUACUCCUGGAUCGAAAGAUUUGGGUAACCCGCGAAUCUCCUUCGUGCUAGGGAUUGAGGUUUGCAAUUAUCCUUCAUGAACGAGGAAUUCCCAGUAAGUGCAAGUCAUAAGCUUGCGCUGACUACGUCCCUGCCCUUUGUACACACCGCCCGUCGCUACUACCGAUUGAAUGAUUUAGUGAGGACUUCGGACUGGGACCGAUGCGGCUUUCGGGCUGCGUCGGUAUUCUGGAAAGUUGUCCAAACUGUNUNAUUUAGNGGAAGUAAAANUCGUANCA